rnacentral:rRNA from 1 species
CCCACCGAGUGGCGGGUAGAAUCUUUUGCAGAUGAAUUAAAUCCAUGACAUGUCUACGAGUUGGGUUUAGGAAUGCAGCCCCAAUCGGGCGGUAAAUUCCGUCCAAGGCUAAAUAUGGGCGAGAGAUUGAUAGCAAACAAAUAUCGCGAGGGAAAAAUGAAAAGGACUUUGAAGAGAGAGUUAAAGAGUGCUUGAAAUUGUCGGGAGGGAAGUGGAUGAGGGCUGGCGAUGCACCCCGGUCGAAUGUGGAACGCUUAUGGCUGGUUCGCCGAUCAGCUCGGGGCGUGGACCAAUGCGGAUCGUAGUGGUGGCCCAAGCCCGAGCCUUUGAAACGCCCGUGGAGAUGCCGUCGUUGUGAUCGUGGACUGCAGCGCGCGCCGUCACGGCGUGCCUCGGCAUAUGUGCACUCUGGGCAUUAACCUGUGGGCUCCCCAUUCGUCUCGUCUUGAAACAAGA